rnacentral:rRNA from 1 species
UUCGCAAUGCCCGAAAGGGUGACGAAGCGACGCCGCGUGGGUGAAGAAGGCCUUCGGGUUGUAAAACCCUGUCAGGAGGUAUGAAAUGUAAGUGCGCUAAUAUCGUGCUUAUUUGACAAAGGCUCCAAAGGAAGCCACGGCUAACUCUGUGCCAGCAGCCGCGGUAAUACAGAGGUGGCGAGCGUUGUUCGGAAUUAUUGGGCGCAAAGAGCACGUAGGUGGGUUUGCAAGUCAGAUGUGAAAGCCUUCUGUUCAACGGGAGAAUUGCAUCUGAAACUGCUAAUCUUGAGUAUAGGAGGGGAGAAUGGAACUUCUGGUGGAGCGGUGAAAUGCGUAGAUAUCAGAAGGAACGCCGGCGGCGAAAGCGAUUCUCUGGCCUAUUACUGACACUCAGUGUGCGAAAGCUAGGGGAGCAAACGGGAUUAGAUACCCCGGUAUACCUAGCCGUAAACGAUGGGCACGUAAGAGA